GUCAUCUUCAGAUUUUUUUGUGCAGAGCUCUUAACAGAUGAAAAUACAAAAUUGAAAGAAGAGAUUAAAAAAUACAAAGAGGAAGAGCAGGCUAAAAGCCGUGAGGAAGAGAUACAGAAUGUCAUUUCCAGUGCUUCACGGAAAGAAACCAAUAUAUCAGUCAAAGAUACCAUUCUGAAAGGUCUGAAAGAGGAAAGGGAGAAAAUUCUAAAGCAUUUAAAAGGAGCUAGUAAGUUGAUGUAGUAAUUGCACACGAUUGCAUAAUAUUUAGAACAGCUAGAAGUUACGAUUUUUUUUU
rnacentral:sRNA from 1 species